rnacentral:rRNA from 1 species
AUCACGUGGCACCGCAGGUUGUCCUACGGACAACCUGCCUCACGGCUGGGGAUAACAUUUGGAACAGAGCUAAUACCGAACUAAACUUAGUGUCGCAUGACACAAAGUUAAAAGGCGCUUCGGCGUCACCUAAGAUGGAUCCGCGUUGCAUAGUUAGUUGGUGGGGUAAAGGCCUACCCAAGACAAUGAUGCAUAGCCGAGUUGAGAGACUGAUCGGCCACAUUGGGACUGAGACACGGCCCAAACUCCUACGGGAGGCUGCAGUAGGGAACUUCCACAUGGGCGAAAGCCUGAUGGAGCAACGCCGCGUGUGUGAUGAGGCUUUCGGGUCGUAAAGCACUGUUGUAUGGGAAGAACAGCUAGAAUAGGAAAUGAUUUUAGUUUGACGGUACCAUACCAGAAAGGGACGCUAAAGUACGUGCCAGCAGCCGCGGUAAGACGUAUGUCCCGAGAGUUAUCCGGUUUAUUGGGCGUAAAGCGAGCGCAGACGGUUUAUUAAGUCUGAUGUGAAAGCCCGGAGCUCAACUCCGGAAUGGGCAUUGGAAACUGGUUAACUUGAGUGCAGUAGAGGUAAGUGGAACUCCAUGUGUAGCGGUGGAAUGCGUAGAUAUAUGGAAGAACACCAGCGGCGAAUUCGGCAAUUCUGGUGCAACCUGACGUUGAGGCCGAAAGUGUGGUAGCAUAC